rnacentral:rRNA from 1 species
GACGAACGCUGGCGGCGUGCUUAAUACAUGCAAGUCGAACGAAAAGAGGGAAAGAUCCUGCUCUUUCCGGAAUUGAGUGGCAAACGGGUGAGUAACACGUAAACAACCUGACUUCAGGAUGGGGACAACAGACGGAAACGACUGCUAAUUACGAAUAAGUUUCACGGGCCGUAUGGUCAAUGGAAGAAAAUGUGGCAUCUACAUAUAAACUAUCGUCUGAUGAGGGGUUUGCGUCUGAUUCGCUGGUUGGAGGGGUAACGGCCCACCAAGGCGACGAUCAGUAGCCGGUCUGAGAGGGUGAUCGGCCACACUGGGAUUGAGACACGGUCCAGACUCCUACGGGAGGCAGCAGUGGGGAAUCUUCCGCAAUGGGCGAAAGCCUGACGGAGCAACGCCGCGUGAGUGAUGACGGCCUUCGGGUUGUAAAGCUCUGUGGUCCGGGACGAAAAGGCGGAGUGCGAAAAACUGACUACUUUGACGGUACCGGAAAAGAAAGCCACGGCUAACUACGUG